UACGUAGGGGGCAAGCGUUAUCCGGAUUUACUGGGUGUAAAGGGAGCGCAGACGGAACUGCAAGUCUGAUGUGAAAGCCCGGGGCUCAACCGCGGGACUGCAUCGGAUACUGUAGAUCUGGAGUGUCGGAGGGGCAAGCGGAAUUCCUGAUGUAGCGGUGAAAUGCGUAGAUAUCAGGAGGAACACCGGCUGCGAAGGCGGCUUGCUGGACGGCAACUGACGUUGAGGCUCGAAAGCGUGGGGAGCAAACAGGAUUAGAUA
rnacentral:rRNA from 1 species